rnacentral:rRNA from 1 species
AUUGAACGCUGGCGGCAGGCCUAACACAUGCAAGUCGAGCGGAGCGGCGGACGGGCGAGUAAUGCCUAGGAAUCUGCCUGGUAGUUGGGGCUAACGUCCGGACACGGGCGCUAAUCUCGCAUACUUCCUGCUGAGCCUAGGUCGGAUUAGCUAGUUGGUGGGGUAAAGGCCUACCAAGGCGACGAUCCGUAACUGGUCUGAGAGGAGGAUCAGUCACACUGGAACUGAGACACGGUCCAGACUCCUACGGGAGGCAGCAGUGGGGAAUAUUGGACAAUGGGCGAAAGCCUGAUCCAGCCAUGCCGCGUGUGUGAAGAAGGUCUUCGGAUUGUAAAGCACUUUAAGUUGGGAGGCGUUACCAACAGAAUAAGCACCGGCUAACUUCGUGCCAGCAGCCGCGGUAAUAC